rnacentral:rRNA from 1 species
UACGGAGGAGGCAAGCGUUAUCCGGAAUUAUUGGGCGUAAAGAGCGCGCAGGCGGCUGGUCAAGUCCGAUGUGAAAGCUCCCGGCUUAACUGGGAAAUUGCAUCGGAAACUGAUCGGCUGGAAGGUGGGAGAGGGUAGCGGAAUUCCCGGUGUAGUGGUGGAAUGCGCAGAUAUCAGGAGGAACACCGGUGGCGAAGGCGGGUCUCUGGGCAGUAACUGACGCUGAGGAGCGAAAGCGUGGGGAGCGAACAGG